rnacentral:rRNA from 1 species
GACGAACGCUGGCGGCGUGCUUAACACAUGCAAGUCGAACGGUGAAGCGAGUGCUUGCACUCGUGGAUCAGUGGCGAACGGGUGAGUAACACGUGAGUAACCUGCCCAUCACUCUGGGAUAAGCACUGGAAACGGUGUCUAAUACUGGAUACGACCAACCCUUGCAUGGGGUGUUGGUGGAAAGAUUUAUCGGUGAUGGAUGGACUCGCGGCCUAUCAGCUUGUUGGCGGGGUAAUGGCCCACCAAGGCGACGACGGGUAGCCGGCCUGAGAGGGUGACCGGCCACACUGGGACUGAGACACGGCCCAGACUCCUACGGGAGGCAGCAGUGGGGAACAUUGCACAAUGGGCGAAAGCCUGAUGCAGCGACGCCGCGUGAGGGAUGACGGCCUUCGGGUUGUAAACCUCUUUCAGCAGGGAAGAAGCGAAAGUGACGGUACCUGCAGAAGAAGCACCGGCUAACUACGUG